rnacentral:lncRNA from 1 species
CCUUGCAGCCUCCAGAACCACGAGAGAAGACAUUUCCGUGGUCAGAGCCACCACUAUGGUCAUUUGUUACAGCAGCCCCUGCAAAACUCAUACACGGGCCUCCCAGAUACGGGUCAGCAGGCUCCCCGACUUCAGGGGGACAAGUGGGUGGAUGGCAACAGCACGAGCUGGAACAGCAGCUGCGGGGCUGAGCAGCUCCGAGGGAGGGUGAAGACGCACAGCUUGCCUGUGGAAGUGAAAACAGCUAACGCUUAGCAGACUUGCCGUAUGCCAGGCACUAUGUUAAAUGCUUUAAUCUCAUUAGCUCCAUUCAUCCUCUCAACGCCUGUGAGGCAGACACCACUCUAAUCUCCAUUAUACAGAUAAAGAAACUGAGGCACAGACAGGAUACCUCGCCCAAGGUCACACGUCUGGUAAACGGAGGAACCCACAUGCAAACCUCGACUGUCUGACCAUUGCAAUGUUUCUCUCAAACGCGUUGAGUCUCAGUAGAGACGAGCAGGGGACAGGCACUGAGCAGCGGCCACGGAGAGGGAGGAAGGACUGAGCGAGGACCAAGCAGAUCCUGGCUCACCUUUGGGCUGCCUGCGGUAAAGGGCAAUUUUAUCCACAUUCACAUUAGAAUAUUUUAGGUGGAUUAACUGUCCAUCGACUUCCCCGCGUCCACCUGCACAGAAGUCACGGCUGAAUGACCGGAAGCAGCACAGGCCUCAGACAGCAUUGCCGGCCGCCGGCAGAAAGCAGCCCAGUCGGCCCCCAAGUUGCCAGCGAGCCUGCAUUUUCCAUUUCCAAAAUGCAGCCUGCUCCCCGGCUUUGUCCCUCCAGGAAAUCCUGUUUGUGCUAUUUUGGGAAAAUUGAUGGCUUUUUUUUCUGGGCUUUCCAGAAGCCUGACAGAUGGUCCCAGAUUUGCACACUGUGUUUCCAGGGUGGCGCCCGAGACACUCUCUCGAUGAUUCUUUCUACUGUGUCAGGCGUUUCAACCAAAUGUGUUGCUUCAACAAAUAUUUAUUGAAAGCCUGCUGUAUGUAAAGUUCUGUGCUCGAUGCUGGGAGAUGAAUCAGAAGGAGAAAGGCGUGCCAAAGAGGGCAUGCAGGAGCCCGGAGGCUGCUUUGUAGAGAAGAUGCUGUUUCUGCUCUCAAGGAAAUUGUGUACCAAGCAGGGAGCUAAGAAAGUCCAGUGAAGAGGGACGAGAUAUUCCGCGGCAAUUAAGCCCCAGACCCUGCGUGAGUUCUGCAGCGACAGCCAUCAUAUGUUUUCCACAGCAAGAGGCUGCUUCUGGGUCCCCCAGGUCAAGACGGGUGAAAGGCAGCCUCAUCUUUCCAGUGAAUUCCAUCUGGGAUCUGGGAAUCCAUCUGGGAUCCAUCUGGCUUCGUAAGGAAGACCCAACUUCUAAUGCAGAGUGAUGCUGUUCCUUAAGGAGAAAUGGUUCCCAGCCAUGGAAGGAUCUUUUUAUAAAUCGGCCUGCAGAAACUUUGCCAAGGGUAACUCAGGCGUGUGGCAGCGCAGGCGAGGGUGCCUUCGCUUCACGGCGCUCUUCAUAGCCCCACAUCCGCCACAGGUUUGCCCGGAGGACGCGGGUGCCCGUGGUGUGCGGAGCUCCACCGCGCAGCCAGGAAUGGAUUGAUCCAGCACCUAACAUGCACCAGAUCCUCAAACUGGGCUCUGGGCUUGUGAAUCCAGAAGCAAAAGAGAAGUGAGGUUCAAGGCUCACAAAGAACCUCCAGUUCGGUUAGGGUCACAGAAGAAAUCCAGUGGAUUCUCAUUAUUCGUGGUCGCUCUGUUCUGUGAAGUCACUGCCACUGCUCCUGAGGGAAUGUGGAGUUAGGAUCCUGCCAGCCUCCGGGCACAACGUGCUGGUCCAUACGUGCCAGUCAAUAGAUAGCCUC